UACGGAGGGGGCAAGCGUUGUUCGGAAUUACUGGGCGUAAAGGGCGCGUAGGCGGCCUUCUAAGUCGAACGUGAAAUCCCCGGGCUCAACCCGGGAACUGCGUCCGAUACUGGAAGGCUUGAAUCCGGGAGAGGGAUGCGGAAUUCCAGGUGUAGCGGUGAAAUGCGUAGAUAUCUGGAGGAACACCUGUGGCGAAAGCGGCGCACUGGACCACAUCUGACGCUGAGGCGCGAAAGCUAGGGGAGCAAACAGG
rnacentral:rRNA from 1 species